rnacentral:rRNA from 1 species
CACGUAGGGGGCAAGCGUUGUCCGGAUUUAUUGGGCGUAAAGAGCUCGUAGGUGGUUCGGUAAGUCGGGUGUUAAACCCCCAGGCUCAACCUGGGGACGCCACUCGAUACUGCUGUGACUUGAGUCCGGUAGGGGAGCGUGGAAUUCCUGGUGUAGCGGUGAAAUGCGCAGAUAUCAGGAGGAACACCGGUGGCGAAGGCGCCACUCUGGGCCAGUACUGACGCUGAGGAGCGAAAGCGUGGGGAGCAAACAGG